rnacentral:rRNA from 1 species
GAUGAACGCUGGCGGCGUGCUUAACACAUGCAAGUCGAACGAAGCACUUACCAAGGAUUUCUUCGGAAUGACUAGUAAGUGGCUGAGUGGCGGACGGGUGAGUAACGCGUGGGUAACCUACCUCAUACAGGGGGAUAACAGUUGGAAACGGCUGCUAAUACCGCAUAAGCGCACAGUACCGCAUGGUACAGUGUGAAAAACUCCGGUGGUGUGAGAUGGACCCGCGUCUGAUUAGCUAGUUGGCAGGGUAACGGCCUACCAAGGCGACGAUCAGUAGCCGGCCUGAGAGGGUGAACGGCCACAUUGGGACUGAGACACGGGCCCAAAACUCCUACGGGAGGCAGCA